rnacentral:rRNA from 1 species
UACGGAGGGUGCGAGCGUUGUCCGGAAUCAUUGGGCGUAAAGGCGCGUAGGUGGCCCGGUCAGCGUGCGGUGAAAGCUCGGGCUCAACCCGAGUCGGCCGUGCGAACUGCUGGGCUGAGCACUGUAGAGGCAGGCGGAAUUCCGGGUGUAGCGGUGGAAUGCGUAGAGAUCCGGAAGAACACCGGUGGCGAAGGCGGCCUGCGGGCAGUGCUGGACCAGUGAGCGCGACGACGUGGGAGCAACAGGA